ensembl:snoRNA SNORD58 Small nucleolar RNA SNORD58
UUGCUGUGAUGACGAUCUUAGGACACCUUUGGAUUAACCAUGAAAUCAACCAUGUUCUGAGCAAC